rfam:Populus trichocarpa isolate Nisqually-1 chromosome 11, whole genome shotgun sequence.
UAAUUUAUCUAAAAUAAAUUCUUAUUUAAUUGUGAUAGAUCCAUACCUGACUGCUCAAAAUCAUUCGUUAUAGCAAUAGCAAGUCCGACUACAUUAAGAAUGAUCUCAGAGAAAACU